rnacentral:rRNA from 1 species
CUUCGAGUUGUAACCUUUUUUAGCAGGGAAGAAGAGAAAGUGACGGUACCUGCAGAAAAAGCGCCGGCUAACUACGUGCCAGCUGCCGCGUUAUACGUAGGGAGCAAAGUUAUCCGGAAUUAUUGGGUGUAAAGAGCUCGUAGGCGGUUUGUCGCGUCUGCUGUGAAAUCCGGAGGCUCAACAUCCGGCCUGCAGUGGGUACGCGCAGACUAGAGUGCRGUAGGGGAGAUUGGAAUUCCUGGUGUAGCGGUGGAAUGCGCAGAUAUCAGGAGGAACACCGAUGGCGAAGGCAGAUCUCUGGGCCGUAACUGACGUUGAGGAGCGAAAGGGUGGGGAGCAAACAGGCUUAGAUACCCUGGUAGUCCACCCCGUAAACGUUGGGAACUAGUUGUGGGGUCCAUUCCACGGAUUCCGUGACGCAGCUAACGCAUUAAGUUCCCCGCCUGGGGAGUACGGCCGCAAGGCUAAAACUCAAAGGAAUUGACGGGGACCCGCACAAGCGGCGGAGCAUGCGGAUUAAUUCGAUGCAACGCGAAGAACCUUACCAAGGCUUGACAUAUACGAGAACGGGCCAGAAAUGGUCAACUCUUUGGACACUCGUAAACAGGUGGUGCAUGGUUGUCGUCAGCUCGUGUCGUGAGAUGUUGGGUUAAGUCCCGCAACGAGCGCAACCCUCGUUCUAUGUUGCCAGCACGUAAUGGUGGGAACUCAUGGGAUACUGCCGGGGUCAACUCGGAGGAAGGUGGGGAUGACGUCAAAUCAUCAUGCCCCUUAUGUCUUGGGCUUCACGCAUGCUACAAUGGCCGGUACAAAGGGCUGCAAUACCGCGAGGUGGAGCGAAUCCCAAAAAGCCGGUCCCAGUUCGGAUUGAGGUCUGCAACUCGACCUCAUGAAGUCGGAGUCGCUAGUAAUCGCAGAUCAGCAACGCUGCGGUGAAUACGUUCCCGGGUCUUGUACACACCGCCCGUCAAGUCAUGAAAGUCGGUAACACCUGAAGCCGGUGGCCUAACCUUU